rnacentral:tRNA from 2 species
AUUUAUAUAGUUUAUUUUAAAACAUUACAUUUUCAUUGUAAAAAUAAAUUUAAAAUUUUAUAAAUU